AUUGUAAUUGUAUUUAUAUGUUAAAAAAAGAAAUCAAAUCAAAAACGCUUAUCUCUUCAGCUAUUAUGGCCCCAGCACCUCAACACCCAGUAAGAGAAACUUGAAGAAGCACCACCUGACUGCACCAUCACUUUCCAGUAUUGUAUGUGCAUCAUCUGAAACACUUUCAAAUCGAGAGGACCUGUCGCCUAUUGAGGAAAGACUGGAAGAUGAUGAGCGCACCAUGGAUGCCUCUGAGGUUCUGGAGGAAAGUCUACAGAACAUGAGCAUCCAGGAUGCUGAAACCCAGGUCAUGAAUGAGCAGGAGAUAAAUGAUCUAAUGAACAGUGUAAUUGAUUGGGGGGACAGUGAAGGUGUUUGUAAUGAGGAGAUUGAAGCAGAUGACAGUGAAGAUGAGGACUAUGUCCCUCGUAUUUGUACUCGGU